rnacentral:rRNA from 1 species
UACGAAGGGGGCUAGCGUUGCUCGGAAUUACUGGGCGUAAAGGGAGCGUAGGCGGGUUAUCAAGUUGGAGGUGAAAGCCCAGGGCUCAACCUUGGAAUUGCCUUCAAAACUGAUAGCCUAGAGUAUGAUAGAGGUAUGUGGAACUCCGAGUGUAGAGGUGAAAUUCGUAGAUAUUCGGAAGAACACCAGUGGCGAAGGCGGCUACCUGGACAGAUACUGACACUGAGGCGCGAGAGCGUGGGGAGCAAACAGG